UACGUAGGUGGCCAUAUAAGUCAGAAGUGAAAGGCUACGGCUUAACCGUAGUAAGCUUUUGAAACUGUAUGGCUUGAGUGCAGGAGAGGAAAGCGGAAUUCCUAGUGUAGCGGUGAAAUGCGUAGAUAUUAGGAAGAACACCAGUAGCGAAGGCGGCUUUCUGGACUGAAACUGACGCUGAGGUACGAAAGCGUGGGGAGCGAACAGGAUUAGAUACCCUGGUAGUC
rnacentral:rRNA from 1 species